ensembl:lncRNA
UAGCAAUAGGUUCUGUGCACAAGCCUAUGGACGAUUUUCCGCUUUAGCCAGAUGUCAGCAUAUCAGUUUCCGGUUUACUUAAGGCGGUCACCCGCGUUGCCCAAGAUUUCAGUUUUUAGUAGAUGAGCAUUAGGGAUGUCCAUCGAAUUGUUGAUGCCUGGUCCCCUGCUCCAACAAGCAAGCGGAACAAGGGAUUUAAACUCUACGUAUCAAGUUAUCUGCACAACUACGAGGGAAGUAAACCGGAAACUGCAAUUCCGACUUCUAGACAAAAGCGGAAGUUUUCACUACGCUGGUGCACCGAGCCUAUUAGGGCGGCUCUUCAGGAUUGAACUACAUCAGGCACAACUACGAAACAGCCACUAUACCACUGCCCUCGGUCAGGAUCUUCAGCUAGAUGGUACAGAAAAAAAACACCACAUUGGACCUUGCGAGCCCAGACAGCAGACCAUAAAAAAGGACAACAGAGAAACAACAAGAUCUACAGUAGAACUUCAGGCAGAACCAAAACUCCAGUUGAGGGGAUCAGCAUUGACCAUGAGUCAUCUGACACUAAAUCCAGAUAUCCAUCAUGAUUUCCACCCAGCAGGGCCAAAACUCAAGUCAAAGACAUCAGCAAUCUCCCUGAGUCGUCUCUAAACAGUUCUUUCACCCAACCUCCAAGCUCCAUGUCCUGCCGCUCACUGCCUUCCCUGCUUCACUCCAGAGAUCAGCAGAUUAGCCGAGAUGCAACUUCAACCUCAUCCAGCUCACGACCUCGCAGCUGCCCAUCAUGCUUCUCACUGUCAUCAAUGUGGAAGAGCAGAGAAAUAACCAGAUCUGCAAUAUCAGUUCCUCCUGACCAAACCAAAAAUCUAGUCGAGGAGACCAGCAUUCUCCAUAAGUUAUCUGAAACAUGUAUAACGUGCAAUAACACCCACUGUUUAAAUAGCGUAGUGGUUAAUGACACAGUCUGUCACAGGAAACCACAGAUCAAAUCCAAAAAGGGCAACAACAUUCAUUCCUUCUAAUUGCAGGAAGGAUACUAAAGGUAAUUUUGAGGUAAUUUAAACUCCAACUCCCAACAUGCUCCAAAUUCACCCAAAAGAGUCUUGUUUGUUCGUGCUCCAUUUGUGCUGUUUGUUCCAGUAAAAGUUUUGUUGCUGUUUUAUAUAUUAUACAUGACAUUUUUUGUGAUGACAUCACCAGCCCUCCAACAUGCUAUUAAUUGACUCAAAAUAGAUACUUUUAGUUUACUUUCAUAUCAAGUAUGGAAGUGAAUAGUUAAAGGUGCCCUAUGCAAAUUAAAUCCACCUAUAGGCAGUGAGCUGUAUAUCGGUUCUAUAACUCCAUUAGGAUCUGACAUUGUCAUUAUUAUCUACGAGCAUGCAGACCAGUUUGAAGCAGUAUCACCUCCAACCGUUGAUGCUGAAACAAUGAAGACAGAUUUAAGUUGCAAAUGGGUUUAAAGUUGAUGGGUCCUUUCCAUAACUAUGGAACACAGAAUUAAACAAAGUAAACAGCUAAACCAAUCAUAUGGCAUAUCUAUUGCAUUAGAUGCAUUGUCAUAUUUUAGAGACUCUAAAGUAACCUUUAAUUGCCAUUUUAACCUGUGUGUGUCACCUUGUGUUUCUGUAACAAGGCCAAACAUUGAAGGGUAUGUAAACUUUUGAUCAGGGCCAUUAUUUCUGUUAUCAUUAUGAUUUAAAAAGGAGCCAAACAUUUACGUGAUAAUAAUAGUUUUCCAAAUAUUAUCCAAAAGCUUGGAGAUUAUUGCAAUUAUGAAGUACAAAAUAAAAAGAAGUUGAUGUACCUCAGUAAAGAUUGAAGGGAUCUGGAGCCAUCAUGGAUUAUUAAACCUCUAAAUAAUUUGGGAUAUUGCUUCAGGUGUAAAUACAGAUGUUUAACAGGAUGUACUUAAAUUAUGACAUACUGUAUGAGCUUUUUGGCUUCCGUGGCAAUAAAAAUGACUACACCAAGGCAGGGUAGUCAGAACCAUAGACAUCUUAUUUAAAGGCUAGACGUCUCAAGGCGCAGUCACUUCCGGCAUCACCGGUGGCCAUCUUGUCACAGGCAGGCUUCCUGUCGGGCUCUGUGGUACCUAAUAUAAGGUGAGUGAUCAGCACUAACACAAAUACUCUUAUCUCGCUGAAACCUUGACGGAUUUACAAACAGUUUGGUUUCUUACAAACGUUAUUAACGUGGCUAUAAUUCUGAAUGAUUGAAAAUGUUGAAAUUGCAGCUUUUCUUUUCUAAAAACGUCUAAAUCGUGCAGCAUAGUUGGAUCACGGCUACUUGCGCAAGUUAUCAAGGCAGAUAUCACAAACGAGCUGUUCGAUUAUAGAGGUUUUACUGACACCAAUAAUGAUUUUAUGACAACUAAUCUUUUGUCUAAAUUACAAUAUUUGUGGAUGUGGUUGUAGUUAUUUGCUGGCUAAUAACAAUAAGCUUUGAGUGAAACCUAUGGCAGCUAACGUUACAGUUUCGCUGCUAACCAGCGAAGUUGCACAUGCUUUUCAAUCCGGUUGGUUCCUGUGUUGCUUGAAGGACAGCAAUAUGUCCUGACCUACAGGUUCAGCCAGGACCACUUGGAGCUUCUCUUAAACUCCAUCAGAGUAUCUGGUAGGGUUCAUAAUUUAUAUUUACCAGCCGCAACACUAAGUGACUUGUAUUGUUUUCAGUUUGUCUGUCCAUAUGUUUUUUUACUUUUGGUAACAUGUGUUUUAUGCAGACACACCUUAACCCUAAGACACACACAAUACCUGGAAGUGUCACAAACCAUUUUGAGUAUUUAGAAAAAUGCCUGUGUUUGACUAUUUGUUUGCAGAACUUAUCAUCACUGAUACAGUCUGAAUUGUAUGAUAAUGUCAUUCAACCUAUUUUAUGUGGAAAGAUCAUUUAGGGGUGGCUAGUUCUAAUUAGUCUUUUUUUGUAAAAAUGUUUUAAGCAUAAAACAUUUUAAAGCAUGUAUUGAAUAUUGCAUUGCAUUGCAUCAUCUUCCGCUUAUCCGGGGCCGGGUCGCGGGGGCAGCAGUCUAAGCAGGGAUGCCCAGACUUCCCUCUCCCCAGACACUUCCUCCAGCUCUUCCGGGGGGACACCGAGGCGUUCCCAGGCCAGCCGGGAGAC